rnacentral:rRNA from 1 species
CCUACGGGUGGCAGCAGUGGGGAAUAUUGGGCAAUGGAGGCAACUCUGACGCAGCAACGCCGCGUGAGUGAUGAAGGUCUUCGGAUUGUAAAACUCUAUAAGUGGGGACGAAGAAAGUGACUGUACCCACAGAAUAAGCCUCGGCUAACCACGUGCCAGAAGCCGCGGUAACAUGUAGGAGGCAAGCGUUAUCCGGAUUGACUGGGCGAAAAGGGUGCGUAGGGGGUUUGACAAGUUAGUAGCGUAAUUCCGGGGCCCAACUUCGGAACUACUACUAAAACUGUUGGGCUUGAGUGCAGGGGGGGUGGAUGGAAUUCCUAGUGUAGCGGUGGAAUGCGUAGAUAUUAGGAGGAACACCAGCGGCGAAAGCGAUUCGCUGGACUGUGACUGACACUGAGGCACGAAAGCGUGGGGAGCGAACAGGAUUAGAUACCCUAGUAGUC